AGGUCUGCAUGUGGUUUUAAUUUCGAAAGGCUGUGUUCGGUUGUUGGCACGAGGCGAGUGUGGGUAUGCGCUUGGUUUUUCUGUCUGCUCAGUGGGAAAAGAAAAGAAAAGAAGAAGAAAAAAAACCAGGAGGAAAAAACGGUGUUGUCUUAAUGCUUUCACACGUGUAGGCUAGGAACUUUGCGUCCUCUUUCAGUAAGAACUGCACACACGUUAAAACCGUGACGAUUAAAUGAUGAAUCUCACUAAUUAAUGAAGAGUUAGCGGUCCGUUGGACAGUGUUUAGCGCGUGGAGAACACUGAGAAAAGCCUCCACAGACCUCUUGUUUAACAGGAUGAAGUGGAGAUUAGUUGCUCGGGUAGAUCUGGGAGAUUAUCGGUGUUAUUAUUGUAACGGGUAAUUAGUACUCGUGCCUCCUGUGUCCGUUCUUGUUCGCUGCAUGGGAAUUCAUGACGUACACCUCUCAGUUUCUGUAGGUCCCUGCACGCGCGUUGUGUUUGCCCAUCGUUAACGCGGUAGUGGACUUUGUGUUGCUGAUAUCGCAGUAGGUUAUGGGGAGCGCGUGCUGACGUCGUCAUCCUGAACAAUAUUUGAAUGUUUUUAUGAUUGGAGUUUAGACACGCCAACAAACAAAGGACGUUCUCUCGGGUGUAAAAAGCCGAUGGGAGUUUAACCCGGUCAGCACGGCGGAGUGAGCGAUUAGCCGGCGCUCCUGUGAGUAUUGACGUUCCUGUGCAGACUCGUGGCUGACACGGGGGAUGAAUGGACUUUGUCGUUCUGAAAUACUUCACAGGCCGAGCGUUCGCUCUCUGGAUUUUGAGUGAGCGGUGGAUGUUGUGGGAAGCAAACCACUUCUGUCUGAGAAUUCGGAAUAAUGCUCGCUUCAUGAAGGUUGUGUUUUUGUAAAAAGGAGCAAAAAAAAAAAUACUGUUGUCUUUUUAUCUGCCGUUUUUUUUUUUUUUAAGACGACUGAGAAUUUUUACUACUAGAGUUUUUCCGUGCAUUGAUUAGACCACGCGACCGACACGAGUCGUGUUACCGUUUUCCGUUAUUUGGACACGAUGUGCAUAAAUUUCCCGCACGGGCUUUAUGGCCGACGAAAAAGUGCCUCCUCGGAGAAGGUUUACGACCCCAUAAAUCCACGGGAUCAUGGGUAGAGACGUCAUGUUUCUGUUGCAGGACGGGGGAGGGAUUUCUGAGCACUUUAAAAGUCGACGUUGCCGUACUUCCCCCUGAAGUGCUGUGUAAUGUAACUACAGUAUAAAUGUCCGGCAUGCCGAUCACAUGGCGACCGUGACCAAUCAAAUCCGGAACGGAGCUUUGCUCUCCACCCAAAACUCGGAGCAAUCCUUCCCUUCAUGUCAUACACUCCAUCCUACAGAGAGUCAGGGAUGGGAUUCAUGACUCCUCUCGAGUAUUUGUACACUUCACGGUUCAAUCCGAAUCCUGCUGUGAUUAUUCACAUUCCAACACUAUCAGGAUCAUCAGCGUGGGUGCGUUUGAAACUACAUUCCAGUCGAUUGAUGCGUCCACUUCUUUCGUUUCUCUUCUUUCUUCUUUCUUUUUUAAAAUUUUUUUUUUAAACAGAACCCAUACUAACCCAACAGAUAUUAGUAUCUGAACCCUCUUGGUCAGCAGAUGCAAAGAGAAACAGUUAACGCGCUCAUUCUGAUACGUCAUCGAUUCGAUCGUCGGAUUUCAUUGAGGUUUUAUUUAUUUAUUUUAAUUGUUUCCUCUCUCUCUCUCUCUCUCAAAAUUUGCGAUGUAACUUGCUGGAG
ensembl:lncRNA